rnacentral:rRNA from 1 species
GACGAACGCUGGCGGCGUGCUUAACACAUGCAAGUCGAACGGUGAAGCGAGUGCUUGCACUCGUGGAUCAGUGGCGAACGGGUGAGUAACACGUGAGUAACCUACCCAUCACUCUGGGAUAAGCACUGGAAACGGUGUCUAAUACUGGAUACGACCAACCCUUGCAUGGGGUGUUGGUGGAAAGAUUUAUCGGUGAUGGAUGGACUCGCGGCCUAUCAGCUUGUUGGCGGGGUAAUGGCCCACCAAGGCGACGACGGGUAGCCGGCCUGAGAGGGUGACCGGCCACACUGGGACUGAGACACGGCCCAGACUCCUACGGGAGGCAGCAGUGGGGAAUAUUGCACAAUGGGCGAAAGCCUGAUGCAGCGACGCCGCGUGAGGGAUGACGGCCUUCGGGUUGUAAACCUCUUUCAGCAGGGAAGAAGCGAAAGUGACGGUACCUGCAGAAGAAGCACCGGCUAACUACGUG